rnacentral:rRNA from 1 species
AACGAACGCUGGCGGCAGGCUUAACACAUGCAAGUCGAACGGGUGCAGCAAUGCAUCAGUGGCUGACGGGUGAGUAACACGUGGGAACCUUCCUCGGGGUACGGAACAACUCAGGGAAACUUGAGCUAAUACCGUAUACGUCCGUGAGGAGAAAGAUUUAUCGCCCUGAGACGGGCCCGCGUCGGAUUAGCUAGUUGGUGGGGUAACGGCCUACCAAGGCGACGAUCCGUAGCUGAUCUUAGAGGAUGAUCAGCCACACUGGGACUGAGACACGGCCCAGACUCCUACGGGAGGCAGCAGUGGGGAAUCUUGGACAAUGGGCGCAAGCCUGAUCCAGCCAUGCCGCGUGAGUGAAGAAGGUCUUCGGAUUGUAAAGCUCUUUUGCCAGGGACGAUAAUGACGGUACCUGGAGAAUAAGCCCCGGCAAACUUCGUGCCAGCAGCCGCGGUAAUAC